UACGUAGGGGGCUAGCGUUGUCCGGAAUCAUUGGGCGUAAAGCGCGUGUAGGCGGCCCGGUAAGUCCGCUGUGGAAGUCGGGGGCUCAACCCUCGAAUGCCGGUGGAUACUGUCGGGCUCGAGUGCGGAAGAGGCGAGUGGAAUUCCUGGUGUAGCGGUGAAAUGCGCAGAUAUCAGGAGGAACACGGAUUGCGAAGGCAGCUCGCUGGGACGUUACUGACGCUGAGACGCGAAAGCGUGGGGAGCAAACAGG
rnacentral:rRNA from 1 species